rnacentral:rRNA from 1 species
GUUUGAUCAUGGCUCAGAUUGAACGCUGGCGGCAGGCCUAACACAUGCAAGUCGAGCGGAUGAAGAGAGCUUGCUCUCUGAUUCAGCGGCGCACGGGUGAGUAACACGUGGGAACCUGCCCUGGAGUGGGGGAUAACCCGGCGAAAGCCGGGCUAAUACCGCAUACGACCUGAGGGUGAAAGAUUUAUCGCUCUAGGAGGGGCCCGCGUCGGAUUAGCUAGUUGGUGGGGUAACGGCUCACCAAGGCUUCGAUGGGUAGCUGGUCUGAGAGGACGAUCAGCCACACUGGGACUGAGACACGGCCCAGACUCCUACGGGAGGCAGCAGUGGGGAAUCUUGCGCAAUGCGCGAAAGCGUGACGCAGCAACGCCGCGUGCGGGAAGACGGCCUUCGGGUUGUAAACCGCUUUCAGUUGGGACGAAGCCUUUGCGGUGAAUAGCCGUGGAGGGUGACGGUACCUUCAGAAGAAGCCCCGGCUAACUACGUGCCAGCAGCCGCGGUAAA